rnacentral:lncRNA from 1 species
AUCUGUCAGGCCGUGGUCGUGGCCGCUUCAGACUGCUGUACCUUAGUGGCUUUGCUUUACAAUGAUGGAAUUCUAAAUUUAAGACUAAAUUUUUGCCCCCAAAGGUAAACGAGGUGAAAGUUUUUGCUUAGUAUUUUACUUGACAUGAGAACUGAUUAUAUAAGGAAACUGACACCUGCAGGUGGCAGCCUGGUCUUGUGUCUGGUUAAGAAGAUGACACCGUGCAUGUGUUGCUCUGGAUGUGUAGUGUGUGAAGGACAACAAAGCGUGGAAGAUGGGAUUGCUGGUGAGAAAGGGACUGGGCCUCAGAGGACAGGAAGGAUGCAAAUGCAAGAAGGGGACCAGGCCUGCUGA